rnacentral:lncRNA from 1 species
GCUUAUUAGCCAUAUAGCCAUAUUUCAAAAACAAAUGAAGAAAGUAACAAUGAUUUUGACGUAAUUCAUUGUCAGACUUUUUGGCUUGAUUCCAUCCAGUUAUGCCCCUCACCAUAACAGGUUGCCGGUUCGUUAUUAUAAAAUGAACGACGUGGAGGGAUUGUCUGCCGCAGUAAUAAUCACAUAUAAUACGGAUCGUUGUGCGCAGCUGUCUUGAGCACGUAUGAAGGAGGAUAUAAAUCAAGAGUAGUGACGAACAUAUAUGAGGGAGAUAGAAUCUCUGUUAACAUAACGGCAAUCUGAAGAUGAUGACAUAAAUCCUAUUCCGAUUGUAUUGCUUUCCAUACUACGUCACGUACGUGGAAUAGUUUAUUGUAAGUUCAUUUACAAUUGAGUGAUGGUGUUCUAAAUUUUAGAACCGUGAUAAGGUGCAUGGUGAAAGUAAAAUAUGAAAUGGUUUACAUAAAGUCAAGCUGAGUUCAGUAAAACCAUCCAAUUUAGACGACGAAACUUUCCGUUUGGCAUGAGUCAGAUGAAAUGUAAUAUAUAUUAUGAACGUAAAUAGAUAGAUGUGAAGAAUCUUCUUUCCAUUCCACAUGAACUAUAUAAAGUAUAAUAAGUGUAUGCACAUGACCCAAAAUAACCACUUACAUAGACGCUGAUGUAUGUGGUUGUGCAGAGAUGAUGAUGUAUUCUCUGCAGUAAAUGGCCACUAAUGGAUUGCAGCUAUUCCAUAUAAAAGAUUAGGAGGAAGCCACGUAAAUAGGUGGAGUUAUUAGAGAUGUUUUACUGUGCAGAGUUAAACAAGUGGUGUAAAUUAGAACGUGUACCAAUAAGUGUUGUAUUCCAUCUAAUUACCACUGUAAGUCCAUCCGACGGAAAACCAUAUACUAUGUUAUUUACCUGAGAA